CUUUCUUUUGCCUCUGUCCACAAUCUGCCAUGUGCCCUGUCAACUGCCUCGCCCUCCCCCAGAACUGCGCGUGUGCUGCACAGUCCCCUCUGCUCUCGGAUCCUGGAAGUGGAUUCGCAAACCCGGGAACAUGCAUCCGCCCCCAAUCUAGGGAAGCCUACCUCUACGCGUCGCGAACCGGAUCAUUUCCAACCUCCACCUGCGGUUUUGAGAUUUGAGGGAGAGCACCGCCUGCCACGACCAAUCUUGAGCUUGGUCAACGUCAUCCGGUACAGAGAUAGCGUUGCGAGUUAGGCCUCGAAUGUUGUCAAGUGGCCGUCAGACAAGAAUCAAGAGGCUAGACGAGGCCAGCCAAUCCAUGUAAUGGAAGCAAAAGACUGUGACACCCCACCCUUUGCACCUGUGCCAGUCGGUGUUGACUCGUGAGCCUCAAGAGGAACGCGAGAGGUUUUACCCGCUCCCGUCGUCCGCCUUCUCGAAUAUCCAAAUGCUCGGUAUCGAACGGCUGCUCUUCAAAAGCCAAUUGCUUCGCCCUAUCGAAGACUACUUACGGAUGUGUCCGCCGUGGGAAAGGCGCUGACCUAGCCUUUCUUAAUCCCCAUUCUUCCUCUUACGACAAAAUGGUUCAUAUCUCUCACAAAGGAGCCAUCAGUAACAGCUCAUUCUCAUAGUUGAUAACUCUGUCGGUCCUGGUUUCUCGAUACGGCAGGUCGGGGAAGGGGGUUGCGGCGCGGAUAUGACUGCCUUUUCUCAUGUUAGUUCGGGAUCAUUAUAUGCAGCAUCGAAUCAGCCUAGCGUAUCGCAGGUACUCGUUAUGGCAUUCUGACUGAACCCUUUUCAAACAGGUAUGGUGCCAAAUGGACGCUAAUUAACUUUUUCAUUGGAUAGGGGCAUAGAUUUUUGAAGCAGGUUGAGUCGCUGCUUCAAGGCAUUCUAAUGCAACCAUGUACUAUAUG